UACGCGACCUGCAGGUAUGCGCAAAUGUUCGAUUUAUGAUGUGUCAGGAGACUCGGCCGCCGUUUAUAUUCGGCACAUGGUUGAGUUGUGCGAAUCGGCGUAAUGACUGCGGGUCGUAUUGUUUUUGCAUCGAGCGUUUACGUUUGUGGAAUGCGAUCUGGUCUCCUCGAGAAGAGAGUGCGCGCCAUGUGGUAUCAAGUCAACGACCCGGCAUCGCCAGCAACCUUAGCUUCUUGCUUCUUCGUCUUCUUCUCCACGCUGAGAGCCGUUGCCGACUCCAACUCGCCGGCAUUGACUCAUUCCGACUCUGGCGCAUACAUUCGUAGGAAUAAUACAAUUGAUGGAAUUACAAAGUGAACGAAUAAUUUGGCCGCAAAUCGCCGAUCCGUGCUUAAUUAAAUCGUCCCGUUUUCCACCGUCUACGUCCACUGAUUGAAUCGAAUCCAAAGGGUGAAAUGACUAUUUAAUUGUUUAUUAAAACCCUUGAAAUUCGAUUCAAACCUCAAGUAGUUUUCACAUUUUUACAGCUGCUACAUGUGAAAUAUCUGUUCCGACAGUCAAUAUUUUCUAUAGUUGAGUGGCCAGCUUUUCGCAUUACGAUUUAUUAUUUUUCUCUCAAAAGAUGUCCACACUUCACAAUGGCGUAAUGAACUGGGAGACUUGAGACUCAAGUCCUCCUGUCAGGUCGACAAUGGAAUAAUUGCCGUUUGGGUCGGCACGCAUGAAUGUGUGAUUCGAAAAGAAUGAAGUCGCUUGACUGCGCAAAGCAUAUUUCGGAGUGUUUAUAAUCGUAUUUGCCCUGCCCGGCUAGCUACCCCGAAAUAUAAUGGAAUGGAAAUAUAAUGUAGAGCCGUAAAAACCCCAAAGUGGGACGCCCGAACGACUUGGAAGAAAUCAUCUUUUGUGGGAUGGCUUGCAUUCUGCCACAAAAGUUCAUCGCGGACCCCACGAUAAAUAUAAAAACACAUCCACACACACGCGAAAUGUGAAAUCAAUCGUUAUUCAAGUCCACUCGUCAUUGACUAUAAGUCAUCUUGAAAGAACCUGGUACUCCAGGUGAUUUUUAACAAAAUGAACAAAAGAUUCGACGUGUCUUAUAGAAAAUCUAAAAAUAAAUUCAGUGUGUAUUUCAA